UAACACGUGGGUAACCUGCCUGUAAGACUGGGAUAACUCCGGGAAACCGGGGCUAAUACCGGAUGGUUGUUUGAACCGCAUGGUUCAAACAUAAAAGGUGGCUUCGGCUACCACUUACAGAUGGACCCGCGGCGCAUUAGCUAGUUGGUGAGGUAACGGCUCACCAAGGCAACGAUGCGUAGCCGACCUGAGAGGGUGAUCGGCCACACUGGGACUGAGACACGGCCCAGACUCCUACGGGAGGCAGCAGUAGGGAAUCUUCCGCAAUGGACGAAAGUCUGACGGAGCAACGCCGCGUGAGUGAUGAAGGUUUUCGGAUCGUAAAGCUCUGUUGUUAGGGAAGAACAAGUACCGUUCGAAUAGGGCGGUAC
rnacentral:rRNA from 1 species